rnacentral:tRNA from 1 species
UCCCUGAUAGCUCAGUUAGUAAAGAAUCUGCCUGCAAUGCAGAAAAGCCCAGUUCAAUUACUGGUUUAGGAA